rnacentral:rRNA from 1 species
UACGAAGGGUGCAAGCGUUACUCGGAAUUACUGGGCGUAAAGCGUGCGUAGGUGGUUUGUUAAGUCUGAUGUGAAAGCCCUGGGCUCAACCUGGGAACUGCAUUCGAAACUGCCUGGCUAGAGUUUGAGAGAGGGAAGUGGAAUUCCACAUGUAGCGGUGUAAUGCGUAGAUAUGUGGAGGAACAUCAGUGGCGAAGGCGGCUUCCUGGCUUAAAACUGACACUGUGGCGCGAAAGCGUGGGUAGCAAACAGG